rnacentral:rRNA from 1 species
AACGAACGCUGGCGGCGUGCUUAACACAUGCAAGUCGAACGCGAAAGUCCUUUCCGGGGGCGAGUAGAGUGGCGCACGGGUGAGUAAUGCAUAGGAACAUACCUAUAGGUGGGGAAUAACCAGGGAAACUUUGGCUAAUACCGCAUAAAGCGUAAGACUAAAGGAGGCCUCUCUUGAAAGCUUCCGCCAAUAGAUUGGCCUAUGUCCCAUUAGCUUGUUGGUAGGGUAACGGCCUACCAAGGCGACGAUGGGUAGCUGGUCUGAGAGGAUGAUCAGCCACACUGGAACUGAGACACGGUCCAGACUCCUACGGGAGGCAGCAGUGGGGAAUCUUGCACAAUGGGCGAAAGCCUGAUGCAGCAACGCCGCGUGAGUGAAGAAGGUUUUUGGAUUGUAAAGCUCUUUCGGCUAGGAAGAAGGGCAAUGUGGUUAAUACCCGCAUUGUUUGACGGUACUAGAAGAAGAAGCACCGGCUAAUUCCGUG